AGUGAACGCUGGCGGUAGGCCUAACACAUGCAAGUCGAACGGCAGCACAGGAGAGCUUGCUCUCUGGGUGUCGAGUGGCGGACGGGUGAGGAAUACAUCGGAAUCUACUCUGUCGUGGGGGAUAACGUAGGGAAACUUACGCUAAUACCGCAUACGACCUACGGGUGAAAGCAGGGGACCUUCGGGCCUUGCGCGAUUGAAUGAGCCGAUGUCGGAUUAGCUAGUUGGCGGGGUAAAGGCCCACCAAGGCGACGAUCCGUAGCUGGUCUGAGAGGAUGAUCAGCCACACUGGAACUGAGACACGGUCCAGACUCCUACGGGAGGCAGCAGUGGGGAAUAUUGGACAAUGGGCGCAAGCCUGAUCCAGCCAUACCGCGUGGGUGAAGAAGGCCUUCGGGUUGUAAAGCCCUUUUGUUGGGAAAGAAAUCCGGCUGGCUAAUACCCGGUUGGGAUGACGGUACCCAAAGAAUAAGCACCGGCUAACUUCGUGCCAGCCGCCGCGGUAA
rnacentral:rRNA from 1 species